AAAAUGUAAAAUGUUUUUACAUUAUCUAUCUAUCUAUCUAUCUAUCUAUCUAUCUAUCUAUCUAUCUAUCUAUCUAUCUAUCUUUCUUUCUUUCUUUCUUUCUUUCUUUCUUUCUCUCUCUCUUCCUUCCUUCCUUCCUUCCUUCCUUCCUUCCUUCCUUCCUUCCUUCCUUCCUUCUUCCUUCCUUCCUUCCUUCCUUCCUUCCUUCCUUCCUUCCUUUCUCUCUUUCUUUCCUUUUUUCUUUCCUCUUUCUUUCUUUCUUUCUUUCUUUCUUUCUUUCUUUCUUUCUUUCUUUCUUUCUUUCUUUCUUUCUUUCUUUCUUUCUUUCUUUCUUUCUUUCUUUCUUUCUUUCUUUCUUUCUUUCUUUCUUUCUUUCUUUCUUUCUUUCUUUCUUUCUUUCUUUCUUUCUUUCUUUCUUUCUUUCUUUCUUUCUUCCUUCCUUCCUUUCUUCCUUUCUUCCUUCCUUCCUUCCUUUCUUUCCUACAGAAAAAAUCAUGGAGGAAUAAAGUGAAGAAUAUUAUGCUUCAAUCUGUAUUUGUCCUCU
rnacentral:lncRNA from 1 species